GCAAAUGCAAAUGAUACGGUGAAACCUGCCCAUGACGAGAAGACACCUGCUGAGGUUGAGUUUCAUGAUUCAAACAAAGGGAAGAGGGGAAAACAAGUAGAUCGUUCCUCGUGUGGUUCAAAUACACCAUCUGGAAGUGAUCAAGAGAUAGAUGCAACAGAAAAUAAUGAUAAAGAAGAAAAAGAGGAAGAAAAUGAUCUUGAGAUGAAUCGUCCAGCUGUCGAGUUAAGCAAUCGCCGCAAUAGAAGUAUCAGUAACACAAGUGAAUCUUGGAAGGAGGUUUCUGAUGAGGUAAAAAGGGUAUGUUAUUUUAUUUUAUGUAUUCUGUAGCAGUUUUCUUCUUAUAAAGCUUACGUUUUCUCGUAAUGUAUAUACCAUACAGGGGCGGCUGGCUUUUCAAGCUCUCUUCACUCGUGAUGUAUUGCCUCAAAGCUUUUCACCUCCCUAUGAUGUAGAAAAUGAGAACAAGGCAAGUGAGAACGUUGAGAAAGAUAGUCAUGUUGUAGAUAAAGAUAGUGGUGCAUCAGUUUUGGACCUUAACGGCAAGACUUGUGGAUCUUUUAGUCAUCAAAGUAUGGAGAGAGAUACAUCAGCAAUAGGUAUCAACAAUGGAGAGGGAGAACUUCUCACAAUUGGACUAGGAAAU
rnacentral:lncRNA from 1 species